rnacentral:rRNA from 1 species
GACGAACGCUGGCGGCGUGCUUAACACAUGCAAGUCGAACGGUAAGGCCCUUCGGGGUACACGAGUGGCGAACGGGUGAGUAACACGUGGGUGAUCUGCCCUGCACUCUGGGAUAAGCCUGGGAAACUGGGUCUAAUACCGGAUAUGAGCUCCUGUCGCAUGGCGGGGGUUGGAAAGGUUUACUGGUGCAGGAUGGGCCCGCGGCCUAUCAGCUUGUUGGUGGGGUAAUGGCCUACCAAGGCGACGACGGGUAGCCGGCCUGAGAGGGCGAACGGCCACACUGGGACUGAGACACGGCCCAGACUCCUACGGGAGGCAGCAGUGGGGAAUAUUGCACAAUGGGCGAAAGCCUGAUUCAGCGACGCCGCGUGAGGGAUGACGGCCUUCGGGUUGUAAACCUCUUUCAGCAGGGACGAAGCGAGAGUGACGGUACCUGCAGAAGAAGCACCGGCCAACUACGUGCCAGCCGCCGCGGUAA